UGCAUGGACCAUUCAACUGGAACGUGGACAUCUGGGCUUCGGUGACGGCUCGCUGCCAGCAUGCCUCUCAACCUGACCAUACCUUUGCCUGUCUAGGCCUCAGAUGCUAUCCUGACAGAUGAGAGUGAAACUGAGAUACAAUAAAGCUAUGUGAUUUGCUUGAAGCCGAUAGAACAGAGCAUCAUGGUAAAAAUUAGAGAAGCUUGCCAUUCUUCUCUCCUAUUCCCAAGAACCAAAUUGCUCUAAACUAGGAAGGCUGGCUGGGGUUUUAUGAUCUUGGCUGACUUUGUUUGGGCCUGGCUCCAAGCUGAAUUGAGGGUCCAAGUCCACUCUAUGUAUUUCUCAUUCUUUUUGCACCAGGGGCUACCUGUACCCUCUUCUCAUGGCAGUGAUACAGUAGGAACAGAAUGAGCCUAAGCCCAGAAUCACACAGCACUUUUCAAGUCUCAGGUUACGUCAUGUCAAGUUACAUGACCAAACCCAACAUCAGGGGAUCAUGGGUGUAUAUACUCUUCUCACCUAGAUGGGGG